CCUACGGGAGGCAGCAGUAGGGAAUAUUGCUCAAUGGGGGAAACCCUGAAGCAGCAACGCCGCGUGGAGGAUGAAGGUUUUCGGAUUGUAAACUCCUUUUGUUAGAGAAGAUAAUGACGGUAUCUAACGAAUAAGCACCGGCUAACUCCGUGCCAGCAGCCGCGGUAAUACGGAGGGUGCAAGCGUUACUCGGAAUCACUGGGCGGAAAGAGCGCGUAGGCGGGAUAGCAAGUCAGAUGUUAAAUCCUAUGGCUUAACCAUAGAACUGCAUUUGAAACUGUUAUUCUAGAGUAUGGGAGAGGUAGGUGGAAUUCUUGGUGUAGGGGUAAAAUCCGUAGAGAUCAAGAGGAAUACUCAUUGCGAAGGCGACCUGCUAGAACAUAACUGACGCUGAUGCGCGAAAGCGUGGGGAGCAAACAGGAUUAGAUACCCCAGUAGUC
rnacentral:rRNA from 1 species